UGAGAACCGAGUUCUGCCAGACACCAACGCUCACGCCUUCCUUCCAUCGCCUGGUGAAGAAACUCUGGUUUUUAUCUUAGAGCAAUGGAGUCGGAACCGGGAUGUGGCUGCCCAGAAAGUCUCUGUGCCCCGCCCACCUUGUUGCUUCCAUUUUGAGGUCUGAAGACGUUUGGGAUGCCUGCUCCACACUCUCCUCCCCUGCCAUUUGGCUGCUACCCAGAGGAGGUGAGGUCUCACCUGUAGGCAUGCAGGCAACCGCCCCAGAGGGCCAGCACCCCGGUCCCUGGAUUACAUUGCAGAGCAGAGCUGCUCUGUCACUUCAGGACUUUCUGGGGAGAGAAAUAGUCUUCUGUGUUCUUGAAAAUGGUGAAUGCUUCAGCAUCUUUCUUUCUGUAGAGCAUUACUCUCCCUGGUGCCACCAGGAUGAGCUAUGUGCUGGCCAUUUAACAGGUGUCUCAUGUAACACUCGCCAGCUGUGUGAGGUAGCACCAAUAUUUCUAUUUUAUAGAUGAGAAAACAGGUUGGGGGAGGGAAUGUGACGUGUCCAAGGUCUCAGGACUAACCAGUGGUGGAGGCUGCCGCUGGAAGCCAGGCCCUUGC
rnacentral:lncRNA from 1 species